GAUGAACGCUGACAGAAUGCUUAACACAUGCAAGUCUACUUGAAGCUAACUUCGGUUAGUGGAUGGUGGCGGACGGGUGAGUAACGCGUAAAGAACUUGCCUCACAGAUUGGGACAACAUUUGGAAACGAAUGCUAAUACCGGAUAUUAUGAUACUUCCGCAUGGAAGAAUCAUGAAAGCUAUAUGCGCUGUGAGAGAGCUUUGCGUCCCAUUAGCUAGUUGGAGAGGUAACGGCUCACCAAGGCGAUGAUGGGUAGCCGGCCUGAGAGGGUGAACGGCCACAAGGGGACUGAGACACGGCCCUUACUCCUACGGGAGGCAGCAGUGGGGAAUAUUGGACAAUGGACCAAAAGUCUGAUCCAGCAAUUCUGUGUGCACGAUGAAGUUCUUCGGAAUGUAAAGUGCUUUCAGUUGGGAAGAAGCAAGUGACGGUACCAACAGAAGAAGCGACGGCUAAAUACGUGCCAGCAGCCGCGGUAAUACGUAUGUCGCAAGCGUUAUCCGGAUUUAUUGGGCGUAAAGCGCGUCUAGGUGGUUAUAUAAGUCUGAUGUGAAAAUGCGGGGCUCAACUCCGUAUUGCGUUGGAAACUGUGUGACUAGAGUACUGGAGAGGUAAGCGGAACUACAAGUGUAGAGGUGAAAUUCGUAGAUAUUUGUAGGAAUGCCGAUGGGGAAGCCAGCUUACUGGACAGAUACUGACGCUAAAGCGCGAAAGCGUGGGUAGCAAACAGG
rnacentral:rRNA from 1 species